UAUGGUCCAGCUGCGUCUUGUCCAGCUAAUACCGCUACGCCCAUUCCUCCUUACUAGACCGCCCUCACAGUAACGCCCCUUUGGCUGUUCAAGUUUCUCAAGUCAGUGACAUGCUGCCGAAUGACAACACAAGCGCCGCACAGGACUUUUUAAAACGACUGAAUGGAUUUCGCUGCAGCGAUCACUCAACUGUCGGUAAGAUUUCAAUAUAAAUGCAUGAAUAUACAUAACGGUUACUUUACGAGUUGACUUUCAGUCGGAGGGCGAACAUUUACCUCGGCCCACCAACUAGCGGUUUUGGCUAAUGUUAUUUAGCUUCAAGGCAAGCUAACAGGCCGCCCUUCCUAAGUUUCAGAUGUUGUGUGUAUAUUUGUCAUAAUGACUUGAUGUAGUAGUGCUAAAAAUAAACCUUUAUAUGUUCUCUUAGUGAACUUCUCAAAAUAUAUGGGCUAUAAUGUAUAAUGUACUUGGGAUGGGUUUAUCGUUACCCAUUGUUUCUGAUGGGGCGUUAAUUGGUGUGGCACCCCGGAAAUCUUCCUCACUUCUGGCAAGGGAUUGGGAAGUAAAUAAAUGCUACUGGAUCGAGACCCCUCAUCUCUCCUGCCUCUUCAAUCAUCCAAAGACUGUUAAGUUUGUUAUUUUAAUGUAAUGGUCGGUUCAUGUCCGUAUUGACUUGACUUGUCAUUGGGUCUGAUUUUAAAUGUGCCAUAUAGUUCAAUGUGGGAGCAGGUUCACACACUAAAUAAGACACUAAGGUCAAGCACAAUCAGAUUUUUUUUUUUUAAACAAUUCUCAGAGCAGAGUAGAGCAGACGUUUCAGGUUACUGCCAUCAGAGAGUAGUGACUUGACCUUAGUGUCUUAAGUGUGCUCCCACAUUGAACUCUACUUUUUGGGUCCAUGCACCUACUUAUUUCUAAACAUCUAAGCGCAAUUAUACCCCUGCCUCCUGAUGUGCCAUAUAACCUGUAUCUCUCCAAUUGUGUGUGUGUGUGUGUGUGAGAGAGAGAGAGAAUGUGUGCACGCAGAUAUAAGAAGUUGGGGUUGAUGAUCCACAUGAUGGUGAUGGACCAGGACAGCUCUGGACCUCCUGACUGGCAGCUCCAUCCUCAACCUCUUCCUGCCCUUCACACAUGUGCAGGCAGAGAGGCAGUUUUCUGAAGGAUGGUUGAUGUCAGUACCAACAUGUUGUGAUGGAGGCUUCCACCUGAGCUGAACACAGAAACUUGCACACAGUGAUGGAAGCAGUCGUUCCUGUUUAGC